UGGGGAAUAUUGGGCAAUGGACGCAAGUCUGACCCAGCAACGCCGCGUGAAGGAAGAAGGCUUUCGGGUUGUAAACUUCUUUGACAGGGGAAGAGCAGAAGACGGUACCCUGAAAACAAGCCACGGCUAACUACGUGCCAGCAGCCGCGGUAAUACGUAGGUGGCAAGCGUUGUCCGGAUUUACUGGGUGUAAAGGGCGUGUAGCCGGGGAGACAAGUCAGAUGUGAAAUCUGGAGGCUCAACCUCCAAACUGCAUUUGAAACUGUCUUUCUUGAGUAUCGGAGAGGUAAUCGGAAUUCCUUGUGUAGCGGUGAAAUGCGUAGAUAUAAGGAAGAACACCAGUGGCGAAGGCGGAUUACUGGACGACAACUGACGGUGAGGCGCGAAAGCGUGGGGAGCAAACAGG
rnacentral:rRNA from 1 species